UUUCCCAUUUAUUUUCUGCUAUAGUCUCUCAGUGAUAUGAGCAGUUAUAUGCAUAGGAUAAAACAAUACUGGACCAUUGCAAAUUGAGGUGAAGUAUUUCAUCUCCUCUACAUGGUCUAGACAUUG
ensembl:snoRNA